rnacentral:misc_RNA from 1 species
CAGCCGCGUAAUUCCAGCUCCAAUAGCGUAUAUUAAAGUUGUUGCAGUUAAAAAGCUCGUAGUUGAAUUUCGGGGUUAGUAGGUUGGUCAUGCCUCUGGUAUGUACUGGUCUCACUGAUUCCUCCUUCCUGAUGAGCCGUAAUGCCAUUAAUUUGGUGUUGCGGGGAAUUUGGACUGUUACUUUGAAAAAAUUAGAGUGUUUAAAGCAAGCUAACGCUUGAAUACAUUAGCAUGGAAUAAUGAAAUAGGACGUUCGAUCCUAUUUUGUUGGUUUCUAGGAUUGACGUAAUGAUUAAUAGGGAUAGUUGGGGGCAUUAGUAUUCAAUUGACAGAGGUGAAAUUCUUGGAUUUAUUGAAGACUAACUACUGCGAAAGCAUUUGCCAAGGAUGUUUUCAUUAAUCAAGAACGAAAGUUAGGGGAUCGAAGACGAUCAGAUACCGUCGUAGUCUUAACCAUAAACUAUGCCGACUAGGGAUCGGAUGAUGUUAAUUUUUUAAUGACUCAUUCGGCGCCUUACG